rnacentral:lncRNA from 1 species
AUCGGACCUAUUGGAGUGGUUGAACCGCCGGCCGUGGUAGGCCUGGGGUCCGUGGAUGGUAAGUGCAUUUAUUACCGAGUGAACCGGCGGUCAGGGAGAGCCAUACGCUUUGAUGGUUCAGUGAUCCGGAGAUCGCCUUGAGCCGUGUUCAUUAAAUGACUGAGUGCAUCGGAGACUUGAGGGGGUCUCAUGCAUUAAUGGCAGGUCGUGCCGAAUACCUGCGGAGAUCUUAUGCCUUGAUGGCUUGGAGAUAGCGGCAGGUUGUAGUGGAGUUGUCAGGUCCCUCAGGCUUAGAGGGUUAGGCGGAAGUUGAACAUUUGGUCCAAGGCAAUCGGCUCGGCAGGGAUGCCGAGCCGAGCUGGUCGCCCAAUGGGGCGCCCUGUGGCGGGG